rnacentral:rRNA from 1 species
AGAGUUUGAUCAUGGCUCAGGACGAACGCUGGCGGCGUGCCUAAUACAUGCAAGUCGAGCGAAUCUGAUGGGAGCUUGCUCCCUGAAGAUUAGCGGCGGACGGGUGAGUAACACGUGGGUAACCUGCCUGUAAGACUGGGAUAACUCCGGGAAACCGGGGCUAAUACCGGAUAAUUUUUUCCUUCGCAUGGAGGAGAAUUGAAAGAUGGCUUUUAGCUAUCACUUACAGAUGGACCCGCGGCGCAUUAGCUAGUUGGUGAGGUAAUGGCUCACCAAGGCGACGAUGCGUAGCCGACUUGAGAGGGUGAUCGGCCACACUGGGACUGAGACACGGCCCAGACUCCUACGGGAGGCAGCAGUAGGGAAUCUUCCGCAAUGGACGAAAGUCUGACGGAGCAACGCCGCGUGAGUGAUGAAGGUUUUCGGAUCGUAAAACUCUGUUGUUAGGGAAGAACAAGUAUCGUUCGAAUAGGGCGGUACCUUGACGGUACCUAACCAGAAAGCCACGGCUAACUACGUGCCAGCAGCCGCGGUAAUACGUAGGUGGCAAGCGUUGUCCGGAAUUAUUGGGCGUAAAGCGCGCGCAGGCGGUUUCUUAAGUCUGAUGUGAAAGCCCACGGCUCAACCGUGGAGGGUCAUUGGAAACUGGGAGACUUGAGUGCAGAAGAGAAGAGCGGAAUUCCACGUGUAGCGGUGAAAUGCGUAGAGAUGUGGAGGAACACCAGUGGCGAAGGCGGCUCUUUGGUCUGUAACUGACGCUGAGGCGCGAAAGCGUGGGGAGCGAACAGGAUUAGAUACCCUGGUAGUCC